rnacentral:rRNA from 1 species
AACGAACGCUGGCGGCAUGCUUUACACAUGCAAGUCGAGCGGCAGUGCGGGGGCAACCCUGGCGGCGAGCGGCGAACGGGUGAGUAAUGCAUCGGAACGUACCCUGGAGUGGGGGAUAACGCCGCGAAAGCGGCGCUAAUACCGCAUAUGCUCUGAGGAGGAAAGUGGGGGACCGCAAGGCCUCACUCUCUGGGAGCGGCCGAUGUCCGAUUAGCUAGGUGGUGGGGUAAAGGCUUACCAAGGCGACGAUCGGUAGCUGGUCUGAGAGGAUGAUCAGCCACACUGGGACUGAGACACGGCCCAGACUCCUACGGGAGGCAGCAGUGGGGAAUUUUGGACAAUGGGGGCAACCCUGAUCCAGCUAUGCCGCGUGAGUGAAGAAGGCCUUCGGGUUGUAAAGCUCUUUUGGUCGGGAAGAAAGUGCCCUGCUUAAUACGCGGGGUAUUUGACGGUACCGGCAGAAUAAGCACCGGCUAACUACGUGCCAGCCGCCGCGGUAACAC